rnacentral:rRNA from 1 species
CCUACGGGAGGCAGCAGUAGGGAAUCUUCCACAAUGGGCGCAAGCCUGAUGGAGCAACGCCGCGUGUGUGAUGAAGGGUUUCGGCUCGUAAAACACUGUUAUAAGAGAAGAACGGCACUGAGAGUAACUGUUCAGUGUGUGACGGUAUCUUACCAGAAAGGAACGGCUAAAUACGUGCCAGCAGCCGCGGUAAUACGUAUGUUCCAAGCGUUAUCCGGAUUUAUUGGGCGUAAAGCGAGCGCAGACGGUUAUUUAAGUCU